AACACGUGGGUGAUCUGCCCUGCACUUUGGGAUAAGCCUGGGAAACUGGGUCUAAUACCGAAUAUGACCACGCUCUUCAUGGGGUGUGGUGGAAAGCUUUUGCGGUGUGGGAUGGGCCCGCGGCCUAUCAGCUUGUUGGUGGGGUAAUGGCCUACCAAGGCGACGACGGGUAGCCGGCCUGAGAGGGUGACCGGCCACACUGGGACUGAGAUACGGCCCAGACUCCUACGGGAGGCAGCAGUGGGGAAUAUUGCACAAUGGGCGCAAGCCUGAUGCAGCGACGCCGCGUGAGGGAUGACGGCCUUCGGGUUGUAAACCUCUUUCACCAGGGACGAAGCGCAAGUGACGGUACCUGGAGAAGAAGCACCGGCCAACUACGUGCCAGCAGCCGCGGUAAUACGUAGGGUGCGAGCGUUGUCCGGAAUUACUGGGCGUAAAGAGCUCGUAGGUGGUUUGUCGCGUUGUUCGUGAAAACUCACAGCUUAACUGUGGGCGUGCGGGCGAUACGGGCAGACUAGAGUACUGCAGGGGAGACUGGAAUUCCUGGUGUAGCGGUGGAAUGCGCAGAUAUCAGGAGGAACACCGGUGGCGAAGGCGGGUCUCUGGGCAGUAACUGACGCUGAGGAGCGAAAGCGUGGGGAGCGAACAGGAUUAGAUACCCUGGUAGUCCACGCCGUAA
rnacentral:rRNA from 1 species